rnacentral:rRNA from 1 species
ACAACUUGGACCGCAUGGUCCGAGUUUGAAAGAUGGCUUCGGCUAUCACUUUUGGAUGGUCCCGCGGCGUAUUAGCUAGAUGGUGGGGUAACGGCUCACCAUGGCAAUGAUACGUAGCCGACCUGAGAGGGUAAUCGGCCACAUUGGGACUGAGACACGGCCCAAACUCCUACGGGAGGCAGCAGUAGGGAAUCUUCCACAAUGGACGAAAGUCUGAUGGAGCAACGCCGCGUGAGUGAAGAAGGGUUUCGGCUCGUAAAACUCUGUUGUUAAAGAAGAACAUAUCUGAGAGUAACUGUUCAGGUAUUGACGGUAUUUAACCAGAAAGCCACGGCUAACUACGUGCCAGCAGCCGCGGUAAUACGUAGGUGGCAAGCGUUGUCCGGAUUUAUUGGGCGUAAAGCGAGCGCAGGCGGUUUUUUAAGUCUGAUGUGAAAGCCUUCGGCUCAACCGAAGAAGUGCAUCGGAAACUGGGAAACUUGAGUGCAGAAGAGGACAGUGGAACUCCAUGUGUAGCGGUGAAAUGCGUAGAUAUAUGGAAGAACACCAGUGGCGAAGGCGGCUGUCUGGUCUGUAACUGACGCUGAGGCUCGAAAGUAUGGGUAGCAAACAGGAUUAGAUACCCUGGUAGUCCAUACCGUAAACGAUGAAUGCUAAGUGUUGGAGGGUUUCCGCCCUUCAGUGCUGCAGCUAACGCAUUAAGCAUUCCGCCUGGGGAGUACGGCCGCAAGGCUGAAACUCAAAGGAAUUGACGGGGGCCCGCACAAGCGGUGGAGCAUGUGGUUUAAUUCGAAGCUACGCGAAGAACCUUACCAGGUCUUGACAUACUAUGCAAAUCUAAGAGAUUAGACGUUCCCUUCGGGGACAUGGAUACAGGUGGUGCAUGGUUGUCGUCAGCUCGUGUCGUGAGAUGUUGGGUUAAGUCCCGCAACGAGCGCAACCCUUAUUAUCAGUUGCCAGCAUUAAGUUGGGCACUCUGGUGAGACUGCCGGUGACAAACCGGAGGAAGGUGGGGAUGACGUCAAAUCAUCAUGCCCCUUAUGACCUGGGCUACACACGUGCUACAAUGGAUGGUACAACGAGUUGCGAACUCGCGAGAGUAAGCUAAUCUCUUAAAGCCAUUCUCAGUUCGGAUUGUAGGCUGCAACUCGCCUACAUGAAGUCGGAAUCGCUAGUAAUCGCGGAUCAGCAUGCCGCGGUGAAUACGUUCCCGGGCCUUGUACACACCGCCCGUCACACCAUGAGAGUUUGUAACACCCAAAGUCGGUGGGGUAACCUUUUAGGAACCAGCCGCCUAAGGUGGGACAGAUGAUUAGGGUGAAGUCGUAACAAGGU